GAUGAACGCUGGCGGCGUGCCUAAUACAUGCAAGUCGAGCGAACGGACGAGAGGCUUGCUUCUCUGAUGUUAGCGGCGGACGGGUGAGUAACACGUGGAUAACCUACCUAUAAGACUGGGAUAACUUCGGGAAACCGGAGCUGAUACCGGAUGAUAUUUUGAACCGCAUGGUUCAAAAGUGAAAGACGGUCUUGCUGUCACUUAUAGAUGGAUCCGCGCUGCAUUAGCUAGUUGGUAAGGUAACGGCUUACCAAGGCAACGAUGCAUAGCCGACCUGAGAGGGUGGUCGGCCACACUGGAGCUGCGACACGGUCCAGACUACUACGGGAGGCAGCAGUAGGGAAUCUUCCGCAAUGGGCGAAAGCCUGACGGAGCAACGCCGCGUGAGUGAUGAAGGUCUUCGGAUCGUAAAACUCUGUUAUUAGGGAAGAACAUAUGUGUAAGUAACUGUGCACAUCUUGACGGUACCUAAUCAGAAAGCCACGGCUAACUACGUG
rnacentral:rRNA from 1 species